GGAGGGUUGUCCGAGCGGCCGAAGGAUCCGGUCUUGAAAACCGGUGGGCAGCAAUGCCCCGUGGGUUCGAAUCCCACACCCUCCG
rfam:Microbacterium sp. No. 7, complete genome.